rnacentral:rRNA from 1 species
CGGGACUCUUAUGAGGCCUCGUAAUCGGAAUGAGUACACUUUAAAUAUUUUAACGAGGAACAAUUGGAGGGCAAGUCUGGUGCCAGCAGCCGCGGUAAUUCCAGCUCCAAUAGCGUAUACUAAAUUUGUUGCGGUUAAAAAGCUCGUAGUUGCAUUUGUGCGCCGCGCUGUCGGUGCACCGCAUCCGCGGUGAUACUGACACGUUUGCGGAGCAUAUCGUCGGUGAGCCGCCGGUAAAACGGCGACUCAAUAUCAAAAUCCUAUCGCGGUGCUCUUCAGUGAGUGUCGAGGUGGGCCGACAAUUUUACUUUGAACAAAUUAGAGUGCUCAAAGCGGGCUCAAAAUGCUGCUUGAAUAUUUCGUGCAUGGAAUAAUAGAAUAUGAUCUCGGUUCUAUUUUGUUGGUUUUCAGAACUCCCGAGGUAAUGAUUAAUAGGGAUAACUGGGGGCAUUCGUAUUGCGACGUUAGAGGUGAAAUUCUUGGAUCGUCGCAAGACGAACAUCAGCGAAAGCAUUUGCCAAAGGUGUUUUCAUCAAUCAAGAACGAAAGUUAGAGGUUCGAAGGCGAUUAGAUACCGCCCUAGUUCUAACCGUAAAUAUGUCAUCUAGCGAUCCGCCGACGUUACUAAAAUGGCUCGGCGGGCAGCUUCCGGGAAACCAAAGAUUUUGGACUCCGGGGGGAGUAUGGUUGCAAAGCUGAAACUUAAAGGAA